GGAGUAUUACGCAGCACUAAAAAAUGACAAAAUCAUGGAAUUUGCAGGGAAAUGGAUGGCACUAGAGCAGAUUAUGCUAAGUGAAGCUAGCCAAUCCCUAAAAAACAAAUGCCAAAUGUCUUCUUUGAUAUAAUGAGAGCAACUAAGAACAGAGCAGGGAGGAAGAGCAGGAGGAAAUGAUUAACAUUAAACAGAGACAUGAGGUGGGAGGGAAAGGGAGAGAAAAGGGAAAUUGCAUGGAAAUGGAAGGAGAUCCUCAUUGUUAUACAAAAUUACAUAUAAG
rnacentral:lncRNA from 1 species